AGAGUUUGAUCCUGGCUCAGAGCGAACGCUGGCGGCAGGCUUAACACAUGCAAGUCGAGCGGGCGUAGCAAUACGUCAGCGGCAGACGGGUGAGUAACGCGUGGGAACGUACCUUUUGGUUCGGAACAACACAGGGAAACUUGUGCUAAUACCGGAUAAGCCCUUACGGGGAAAGAUUUAUCGCCGAAAGAUCGGCCCGCGUCCGAUUAGCUAGUUGGUGAGGUAACGGCUCACCAAGGCGACGAUCAGUAGCUGGUCUGAGAGGAUGAUCAGCCACAUUGGGACUGAGACACGGCCCAAACUCCUACGGGAGGCAGCAGUGGGGAAUAUUGGACAAUGGGCGCAAGCCUGAUCCAGCCAUGCCGCGUGAGUGAUGAAGGCCCUAGGGUUGUAAAGCUCUUUUGUGCGGGAAGAUAAUGACGGUACCGCAAGAAUAAGCCCCGGCUAACUUCGUG
rnacentral:rRNA from 1 species